GAAAUAUCUAUACAAUGGCUACAAUGGGUUUUUUAAUUGGGCCCAAUUGAAUUUAAAAUAGAAAAUUAACCCUAAUCCUAAUAUAGCUGUUUACUUUAGCACACCACCAUACUUUUGUUAUUUCUAAUUUUUCCCCAAACCCCAAUCCCUUUUGUUUCGCCCUUUCUCUUCACCCACUCAAACCCUUCCAAUUGGUAGCAGAGAGCCGUGACGGCGCUAGAAACCUGAGCGCCGCAACCUUGCAAGCAAGCGACCUGUUCGCUUCCCUCCAGCACGGCGCCGUCACUGAACAUCCGGCAUUCGCGUCGAAGAUCAGAACAGCUGCCGGGCGAGAAGCAAGCAACCCAGCUGCCGGGCUAGAAGCCGUUGAUCAGAACAGCCGCGUCGGAGAUCUCACCGCCGAACUAAACAUCUUCCGAGUAUUCCGUGACCGGGACCCGUUCUCUCUGAGCACAGAAGCAGCCCACCUUCGAGAAAUAGCCUCCUGCUACUGAACAGGUCACUGGAAAGACAUCCAACAUCUUGACCGGAAGGAUCCUAACCAUCCAAGGAUUCACUCAGUUCAUACCGGAUGGAGUUGAUGCUAGACAUAAUUUGUGGCCCACACAAUGCAUUGGUUCAUCAGCUUGUUUCGUUAUUGAGUGAAACGGUUAAACCUGUUCGUCGCAAUGCACCACGGAACAAGAAGAAUGACGUUAGUUCACCAUACACUGCACCUAGCACACGGUCAUUGAUUGAACGUGCGGAGGGAUUACCGAAGGGGGCAAUGCGCAAAGGCAAGAAGAAGUUGCUUACUUAGUAUUAGUUGCAAUGAAUUGAACUACCACAUUAUACUGAGUUUACCUACUGCUGAGAUGAUUAGGGAUUUGUUUGUCACAUUAGAAAGACUUGAUUCCAGGACAUCUUUUUUUUUUCUACAGUACAAUGAUUUAUUGGUUAUUUUACCUAAAAAUUAUCUAUGUUUUUUUAUAUGUUAGAAUCCCAGAUUUAUCAAGGUUGCUUGGUAAAGUUGCC